rnacentral:rRNA from 1 species
AGAGCGAACGCUGGCGGCAGGCCUAACACAUGCAAGUCGAGCGCCCCGCAAGGGGAGCGGGCAGACGGGAGAGUAACACGUGGGAACGUACCCUUCAGUUCGGAACAACCCAGGGAAACUUGGGCUAAUACCGAAUACGUCCGUAAGGAGAAAGAUUUAUCGCUGAAGGAUCGGCCCGCGUCUGAUUAGCUUGUUGGUGAGGUAAUGGCUCACCAAGGCUACGAUCAGUAGCUGGUCUGAGAGGAUGAUCAGCCUCACUGGGACUGAGACACGGCCCAGACUCCUACGGGAGGCAGCAGUGGGGAAUAUUGGACAAUGGGCGCAAGCCUGAUCCAGCCAUGCCGCGUGGGUGAUGAAGGCCCUAGGGUUGUAAAGCCCUUUCGGCGGGGACGAUAAUGACGGUACCCGCAGAAGAAGCCCGGCUAACUUCGUGCCAGCAGCCGC